CCCCUAGCUUAAAAUGAGUACUCCCACGAGAAGAAGUAAAAUAAGCUAGAACCAUUAUUGUACCCCCGACCCCAUUUGAUGGGGCAUUGCGGUUGUAAAAUGGGGGUUUUCAAGGAAUAACGGUGGCGUAGGGGAAAUUGAGACGAGCCAAACAGAGAAAAGAAUAACUCAGCCAUGACCAACAAGGCAGUCAGCCGCAGCGACUAUUUCAGUAGGAUUAUUUCUGCAGUCAGAUUCGAAAUAUCCCGCGCAAUGUGUGUCGGCGCUGUUUUUCUGUUCGGAGUAGCCGCGCCUUGGUGCUGCAGAGGACGCCGAAGUCGGAACUACGCGCGGAGGAACACCAGCCUUCGGAGCGCGCGCGCGUGCGUUGAAAGCUGCGAUCGAGCAGCCAUUUGCCAGCGACGGCACAUUCUUCUACCGUGGUUGAUGUUUCUCACUGCUUUGAACCCCCAAGACUCCACGGACUGCGGCUGCGGUCGUUUCAUUGCCAACUGUGAGGAUGAAGCAGCUUCAUGGCCGGAGAUCGGGUGCCUCCCAUCAGUUUCCCUUUUCAGCAAUAGAGGCCUUGGAGGCCUUUCUACCUGCGUUGCAUCCUGUGGCUGGACCACUCCAACGAUCUCGGCGGAAUCGUUGCACAGG